rnacentral:rRNA from 1 species
GGGAAUUCGAUUGAGUUUGAUCCUGGCUCAGGAUGAACGCUAGCGGCAGGCCUAACACAUGCAAGUCGAGGGGUAGAGGAAGCUUGCUUCCUUGAGACCGGCGCACGGGUGCGUAACGCGUAUGCAAUCUGCCUUGUACUGAGGGAUAGCCCAGAGAAAUUUGGAUUAAUACCUCAUAGCAUUAUGAAAUCGCAUGGUUUUAUAAUUAAAGUUCCAACGGUACAAGAUGAGCAUGCGUCCCAUUAGUUAGUUGGUAAGGUAACGGCUUACCAAGACGAUGAUGGGUAGGGGUCCUGAGAGGGAGAUCCCCCACACUGGUACUGAGACACGGACCAGACUCCUACGGGAGGCAGCAGUGAGGAAUAUUGGUCAAUGGACGCAAGUCUGAACCAGCCAUGCCGCGUGCAGGAUGAAGCAUCUAUGGUGUGUAAACUGCUUUUGUACGGGAAGAAACACUCCUACGUGUAGGAGCUUGACGGUACCGUAAGAAUAAGGAUCGGCUAACUCCGUGCCAGCAGCCGCGGUAAUACGGAGGAUCCAAGCGUUAUCCGGAAUCAUUGGGUUUAAAGGGUCCGUAGGCGGCUUUAUAAGUCAGUGGUGAAAGCCCAUCGCUUAACGAUGGAACGGCCAUUGAUACUGUAGGGCUUGAAUUACUUGGAAGUAACUAGAAUAUGUAGUGUAGCGGUGAAAUGCUUAGAUAUUACAUGGAAUACCAAUUGCGAAGGCAGGU